GAGGAUAUGACGAUCCUUUCCCCAGAUGAUCGACGAUGAGCAUAAUGUGCGCUAUUGUUCUCUUAAGAGAUAAUCAAGCCAGAACUAUGAUUCUCCAAAUUUAAUGCAGUCUCUUUUGCUGAAAGAUUUGUUUUAUCUGAAAAUGUACUGAUUUGUGGUUAAUUUCAUUGUGCUGCCUAUUUUUCCUGAUUCUUUUAGCAUGUUGUGGUGAAAUUUUAUUUGGUGCUGCUUAAUAUGGAGAAUAUGAUGAUCCUUUCCCCAGAUGAUCGACAAUGAACAUACUGAGCGCUAUUAUUUCUCUUUUGAGAACCAAGCCAGUAUUCUGAUUCUCCAAAUCUUAUGCAGGCAUUUCCUUUUAUUUUGAGCAAGCAGUGGUUGUUUCCUAGACUGUGAUGGAUUUAUUGAUAUGUUCAAUUGUUUAGCUUGGGUAUGAUAACAUAGAUAAUUGUCUAUUAUGAUCUUUGCAAAUUUGUUGCUCCAGGUUGAAACCUUUAGCGUUGAAAACUGAUUACCGGUGGAUUUAGUACCAAUAUGGCCAAUGUGUAUGAGUCAACGCCAUAAUAAUUCUCCAUUUUCUGCAUACAGUAACUGUG
rnacentral:sRNA from 1 species